rnacentral:rRNA from 1 species
GAUGAACGCUGGCGGCGUGCCUAAUACAUGCCAGUCGAGCGAACAGACGAGUAGCUUGCUCCUCUGACGUUAGCGGCGGGCGGGUGAGUCACGUGUGGAUAACCUACCUCUCAGCCUGGGAUAACUUCGGGACACCGGCGCUAAUCCCGGAUAAUAUCUUUAACCGCAUGGUUCAAUAGUGAUAGACGGUUUUGCUGUCGCUUAUAGCUGAUUCCGCGCCGCAUUAGCUAGUUGGUAAGGUAACCGGUUACCAAGGCAACGAUGGGUAGCCGAACUGAGCGGGUGGUAGGCGACACUGGAACUGGGACACGGUCCAGACGCCUACGGGACGCAGCAGUAGGGAAUGGGACGCAGUGGGCGGAAGCCUGACGGAGCAACGGCGAGCGUGUGAUGAAGGUCUUCGGAGCGGAAAGCCGGGUUACUAGGGGAGAACAAAUGUGGAAGGAACUAUGGCCGACGUGACGGUACCUAAUGAGAAAGCCACGGCUAACUACGUG